CUUUCUGCAUAAAAGGCAAACGCUUUGCCGCUGAGCCCAAAGGCGUGGCAGAAAGUCGUCUUUGCAGAGAUC